UACGUAGGGUGCAAGCGUUGUCCGGAAUUAUUGGGCGUAAAGAGCUCGUAGGCGGCUUGUCGCGUCGGCUGUGAAAACCUGGGGCUCAACUCCGGGCUUGCAGCCGAUACGGGCAAGCUAGAGUUCGGGUAGGGGAGACUGGAAUUCCUGGUGUAGCGGUGAAAUGCGCAGAUAUCAGGAGGAACACCGGUGGCGAAGGCGGGUCUCUGGGCCGAUACUGACGCUGAGGAGCGAAAGCGUGGGGAGCGAACAGG
rnacentral:rRNA from 1 species